GCACUCGUGGCGGAACUGGCAGACGCGCUAGACUUAGGAUCUAGUAUCUUUACGAUGUGGGGGUUCAAGUCCCUUCGAGUGCACCA
rnacentral:tRNA from 1 species